rnacentral:SRP_RNA from 2 species
GCCAGGUGUGGUGGCGUGCACCUGUAGUCCCAGCUACUUGGGAGGCUGAGGCGGGAGAAUUGCUUGAACCUGGGAUGCAGAGGUUGCAGUGAGCUGAGAUAGCGCCACUGCACUCCAGCCUAGGUGACAGAGUGAGACUCUGUCUCAA